UGAGUUUCAUGAGCAUUUUAUGGGUUGUUCAUCUAUGACUCUUGAGUGUGUUUAUAUUCGUUUUACCGGAGUGAGUCAUUGUUUGUUUCUUUCAUUUUCUACACAAAUAUUGUUUUCUAUUAUGUGCAGGGUGGAAACCCAAGUUGAAAUAUCAUAAAUUUCUAGUAUUUAUUAAAUGAUUGAAUUGUUUCGGGAUGGAUAAAAACUCGAAUAAAAGACAAAAAACAAAGUCAACAAAAUAAAUGACUCAAAUUUUAAAACAUUGUUUCCAACUAAAUAACUCUAAACACGUGGGCAAACCAAAAUGAGAUAUCAAGUCCAUAAAUCAUAAAUAAGUCUCAAGUCUAAUAAUUCUAAAGGAAAACAUCAUAAAUGUUGAAAGUCCUUUGCCAUUUUCUCACUCCGAGUCUUGGGACAUGAUUGGCAGCAACUGCAACUCUUGCAAGACGUCUCCGUUCCGAUAUCUCUCGUAUGACCUGGUGGGUGACUCGGGGUGAGUCUUUCGUGAUCAAUUUAUUAUCUUGUUAAUACAUUAUGAAAUCGUGGUAUCGUGUUAUUCGAAUAAUAUUAUGUAUUAUCGUGAAACUCAAACUAUGUGACUUAUUUUCUUAUACUAGCCUUGAACUUCAUUCAAGGUUUCUUAAUUCUUGUAGGGCGUCCCCUCUUCUCACUAACUAGUCCUACCGCCCAAUCGUGAAAAAUCGUGGAUGUUUGGGAGCAUGUAUCCUCAAACAACAUACCGUGUAACGCGUGAUGCCUGUGAGAACGUAUCCGUCAGACAACAUAUCAUGUGAGCAAUAUUGGCCCAAUUCGUUUGGGAGCGGGGGGGGGGGGGGCGCGGCGGGGGGGGGGUUUUUUCUUUUUUCUACAUUCUAAAGAGUGUGGUGUAGAUCCUAGUAAUGGUCUAGGUGAGAUUCGUGAAUGUAGUACUCAUAAAGUAAAAAAAACUGUAACGUAAUUAAUGACUUAAAUUAAAAAAAACAGCAACGGUAGAAUUUACCCCUUAAAUCAUCCACCUGAUAAUAAAGGGUUGAUGAUCUGAAGACGAGGAUUUAGAUAUUAGACUAAAUUCCAACACAUGUUAAAAUAGUCUGGGCAACGACUUACGAUAUUCGAGGAAUUGUAUUCACAAUUAAUGUGAUAUUAUGGAAAUGAUUAAUUCAAAGAAUUCGAGUUAAUGAGAUUAACUAAAAACUUGAAAAAGUAUACUAUUAGUUGUAUCUUAUAGAUGCUAAUUUUUAAGAUAAAGAAAAAAGAGGUCGAAGAAAAGAUCUAAUACAGGGCACUUAAUCAAAUUAUCCUAUAAAAAAUCAUAACUAUAUUUUACUUUGAAUUAGUAAUCCUGAUGAAAUACUCAUACUUAAUCAAUUUAUGAAUAUAGGGAUGACGUUACUAACUUCCGCUUAAUUAUUAGCAUUCUAUAUCAUAUUAGAGCUAAUUAUAGGACUUACAGGGCCUUCUAGAAUCGUUUGGGUACAAACUGUCACAGUCAGAAAGUUUGAGACCGCGACAGCUACAAGGGAACAACUCAUGGCUAAACUGUCAACUUCUAAUAGUUUGUUUACAACAGGCAAUUUACUAGGAGUUCAGGUACUGAAUCAAUUUUCUAGAAGUUUAGUGACUGAAAUGUAAUCAGUGAAAGUCCAGGCGUCGCCACAGACAAAUGCCAGUUAUCUUCUCCUGGAGAAUUCCGGCGAGGCUCCGGUGAGACUCAGGGAACUCAAUUUAAAUGCUAUGAAUCGAUUUCUAACCUUAUUCCGAAGCUAAGAGAGAGUUUGUAUGGACUUGGGUUGCUAUGGAAGCUUCGAAUCGAGAAAGGACCAGCGGUCGACGAAAUCCAAUUCCUGGAAAUAAAAGAGACUGAUGGUUCAGUUGUUUGGCUUCCAUGUAGACUAGAACGAAACUAACGAGGGAUGAGACGGUGGAACCCUUACCUAAUCGAGAUAGGAAUCGAUUAUCUUCAGUUGAGAGAGUCCUGGUUUGCCGGAAACAGAGACGGGAAAGAAGACUGAUGUCUUCGCCCGUCUUGAAGAUCAGAGCUCGAUCUUUGGCUGCAGAAUCAAUUGAUAGGGCUUAGGGUUGAGUAAAUUGAGUUUAAUAGAGAUGGGCGUUAGAUGGAGCAUGAUUGGAGGGCUAGGAUCGUUGCCAAAAACCUCGCUGAGAAACUCGCGGCUGCCGUCGAGCUGUAUUGGAGAAAAGGUAGGUGCUGAUGACGUCACCGCCCACGUCAACAUCAUUGGUGACGUGUCAUCCAUUGGUUGGGAAAACCAACAUCCUCAUUUCCACGUCAUCCUGCCUCGUCACUACCAUCCACAUGUCAACCACUAGUGGGUGGGAUGUACUAAAGUCAUCGAC
rnacentral:lncRNA from 1 species